UACGGGGGGGGCAAGCGUUGCUCGGAAUUACUGGGCGUAAAGGGCUCGUAGGCGGCCAACUAAGUCAGACGUGAAAUCCCUCGGCUUAACCGGGGAACUGCGUCUGAUACUGGAUGGCUUGAGUUCGGGAGAGGAAUGCGGAAUUCCAGGUGUAGCGGUGAAAUGCGUAGAUAUCCGGAGGAACACCGGUGGCGAAGGCGGCUUCCUGGACCGACACUGACGCUGAGGCGCGAAAGCUAGGGGAGCAAACGGG
rnacentral:rRNA from 1 species